AUGCUCUGAGUGUUUGGGAGUAAAACUGCAUUGUGGGUAGUCUAUCCUUCAGGAACAAUUUGCUUCUGAAAGUUUAAUGCCGGAAUCCCCCUCCCCCUCGCAGGGGCUCAUGUAAUUCAUUGCAAAUAUCGCACUGGAGCAUUGUUUGGCCUUACGACUGUGUUAGAGCGGUGUUAUGCAACAUGAGCCAUAGCUCAGCGGCAGCUGAGAGCCCAUGGAAAUGCAAAGCAACGUUUGAGAACAGUAGUACCCGACGGGGCGCCUUGGCACGACAGCAGGGAUGUUAGCGGUGCCAGGGCUGAGAAACACUGAGUUAGAAGACAGUGAGUGGAGAGAGGAGCCUGGUAAGACCAAGAACAAGGAGAGUGAAACACUGUUUCAACCUGAGGCUGCCGCCUACCCAACAAGAUCAUGAAUCACAAAGAAGUCAGCACAGUGCAUUCAUGGUUACAAAUGAUGUUCCUAUAGCAUGUUUCAUCAUCACCAAAAAAACACGAUCAAUAACCUAAGAGCCUAGUGAUCAGGGCAUGGUGACAUAAAUAACGAUGCAACCAAUCUUAAUGAGAAGUUAUGCAGACUAUAAACAUAGCUGCAAAGAUUGGUCAACGGAUAACAUCGAGUGAGAAAAAUAGGAAACAAAACUGCAUUUAUUGAAGAAAGAUAUUCACAUGUAGAAAGGUGGUUGGAAGGAAACAGCUCCUUGUGGUUAAGGUAGUAUCACUGGGUGAUGCCUCUGCUUCUGUAUGCCUUUCUUCAUUUCCUCACCUUUCUAGAACUUUCUAGAACGGACAUAUAUGGCUUUUACACUUGGAAAUAAAAGUUCUUAUCAAAGAUCAACACAGAAAGUUGUUACAUUGGGAUCCAGAAGACUUCAAUAAGCCUUUCCCCUUGUUGGACUUCUAUUAGGAAGGUGCCUCUUCCUCUGUCUCAUAUUAAAGAGAGAAGGUAUUGCCACAUUAUUAAGCAAUCAGCCAGUAGGGUUCAUCCAAGAGCAAUAAACUGACCUCUCAAGAGAAAAUUAGUGGAGCUUAGGAAAUUAGAGCUGGAAACCCCAACUGAGUGAUCUCACACAUCCCUGAAGAAUCAGCGCCAUAUACAUUACACUUUCUGGUGUGGGCACUUUCUUUUCAAUUUAAUUUUAAAUGUUUCAAGUGAUCACAAUUUCACUGCUACAUUUUAGAGCAGUCAACAAGCUAUUAAUCCAUCUUCCCUGAGAUACCGAGAAUAUGAUGGCUCCAGCAAACUUCAGAAAUGUCCAUCUGACUCUCACCUGGACCUGCCGGCUGAACAGCUUUCAGGUCUAAUUCAGAUCCUGGCACCCCUGCUUAGCUGCAGGACCUUAAACAAGACCCUCAACCGACAUCAUCUUAGGAGUCCUCAUUUGUAAAACAGAAACCUCACCACCUAUCUCACAAAAGUUGCUAUAGGUGUUAAAUGAGGUGAUGCAUGUAGAGUGCAUUGAAUGCACACAGUGGGUACUCAUUAAAUGUUUGCUGAUUCUGGAGUAUUGCAUGGGUUUUCAACAAUUGUUUUCCUGGCAGAGGAACAGUCUAUCCUAAGUCAACAACUCCACCUUUUGCAUUUCCCUUGACCACACUAGAAGGUAAGAGCAGAUGGUACAGUGUAUGACUUUGCAAAAGCAACAUCCUAUUUGGUACUCAAACCUCGGACUUAGUCAUGCCAAUGGAAUUAACAAGCUUCAAUCACAAAAAUGGUUUGGAGUCCUCACUGGGCAUUUUCACUGUAGACAAGAACUGGAAUUGGAACACAGGCCAUGGGGAUGGGGAAAGACGACGAAGUGAAGAGUCCCAUUUGAGAUGGACUCAAUCAGGUCAAAUGAAGGAGAGAGAAUAAUGCCCCCACCUGGCUAACCUGCAUGACCACAUGCACAGAGUAUUCAUUCAGUGAACUAUCUACGAGCACCUGCUGAGAGCCAGGUACCGUUCUGGGAGCAGGGACAUCCCAGAGAAAGCCCUCUCUGCCCUGGUAGAGCUUCCUUACUGGUGGGGAAGAGAGUCAACAAAUGAAGAAGCAAAGUAAUUUCUGCUGUGGUAACUGUGACGUCAU